AGAGUUUGAUUCUGGCUCAGGAUGAACGCUAGCGAUAGGCCUAACACAUGCAAGUCGAGGGGCAGCACAUGAAGUAGCAAUACGGAUGGUGGCGACCGGCGCACGGGUGAGUAACGCGUAUGCAACCUGCCUACAACAGGGGAAUAACCCGUUGAAAGACGGACUAAUACCCCAUAACACAGGGAUCCCGCAUGGGAAUAUUUGUUAAAGAUUUAUCGGUUGUAGAUGGGCAUGCGUUCCAUUAGCUUGUUGGUGAGGUAACGGCUCACCAAGGCAACGAUGGAUAGGGGAACUGAGAGGUUUAUCCCCCACACUGGUACUGAGACACGGACCAGACUCCUACGGGAGGCAGCAGUGAGGAAUAUUGGUCAAUGGACGCAAGUCUGAACCAGCCGCGUCGCGUGAAGGAAGACGGCCCUACGGGUUGUAAACUUCUUUUGUAAGGGAAUAAAGUGUAGUACGUGUACUAUUUUGCAUGUACCUUACGAAUAAGGAUCGGCUAACUCCGUGCCAGCAGCCGCGGUAAUACGGAGGAUCCGAGCGUUAUCCGGAUUUAUUGGGUUUAAAGGGUGUGCAGACGGGAGAUUAAGUCGGCGGUGAAAUUUUGCAGCUCAACUGUAAAAGUGCCUUCGAAACUGGUUUCCUUGAGUGUGGAUGAAGUAGGCGGAAUUUGUGGUGUAGCGGUGAAAUGCAUAGAUAUCACGAGGAACUCCGAUUGCGCAGGCAGCUUACUAAACCAUAACUGACGCUCAGCGCGAAAGCGUGGGGAGCAAACAGGAUUAGAUACCCUGGUAGUC
rnacentral:rRNA from 1 species